UGUUGGAUCAAUCUGUAUUUCUCCAGCUACCGAUGCUAGCUGGCUAGUUUAGCUAGUACUGCUGAUUGAAGGAUUAGCUGCAAAAGAAACUACAAGAAGAGAGCACUUUACUCUCCGCCCAGCUCACAAUCCAAAGAGCAUCUUUCCAGAUUUGUUCCCUGUUCCUUUGACUCUGACACUAUGCAGCUGAAUCACCUCCUCCGGACUCUUUGCCUUAUAGGCUCAGUAAUCCUGUGUGUAGCCGUUACCACCGCUGCACCACAAACCACCGUUGCACCACCCACUGCUGCACCACAAACCACCGUUGCACCACCCACUGCUGCACCACAAACCACCGUUGCACCACCCACCGCUGCA